UCCCUGGUGGCUCAGAUGGUAAAGAAUCUGCCUGCCAAGCAGGAGACCUGGGUUCGAUCCCUGGGUUGGGAA
rnacentral:tRNA from 1 species